UCAGUGUCUAAAUACGACAACAUGUAGUCGUUUACCCUCGGCAAAAAAGGCGACAUGUCGUCAAAACGAAUCCGCUUUCUUAAAUUUUAAAUUUUUAUUUAAAGCAGACAAAUAAAAGGAGAAAAUGAACUGCUACUGCAUCUCCACUCUUUCAUCCUUAACAACUCUACGCAACAUUAACACACGCCCCACACGCGCCACCACCUCAAAGCUCCAAAUUCGAGCCAUGAGAGCUGUCGUCCAGCGAGUUUCCUCCGCCAGCGUCGAGGUCGACGGCAACACUGUAUCGGAGAUUGGGCCGGGCCUCGUCGUCCUCGUUGGCCUCCACGAAUCUGACACUGACUCCGACGCCGAUUACAUAUGUCGUAAGGUUUUGAAUAUGAGAUUGUUUCCUAAUGAAACUACUGGCAGAGCAUGGGACCAGAAUGUUAUGCAAAGAAAUUAUGGAGUUUUACUCGUAAGUCAGUUUACAUUGUAUGGAAUUAUGAAAGGAAACAAGCCCGAUUUCCAUGUGGCAAUGCCGCCUCAGAAAGCGAAACCAUUCUAUGAUUCGGUAGUUGAACAAUUUAGAAAAUCUUACACGCCGGAUGCUAUAAAAGGAGCCAUUGUCUUCUUGACUUCUUCUCCAUUUGUUUUGUUCAGAUGGUGUGUUUGGAGCAAUGAUGAAGCCUGAAUUUUGUGAAAGGUUAAUCUAGUUAAUGAUGGGCCGGUGACAAUGCAACUUGACUCGUUACAAUCAUCCAAGAGCACAAUCGAUGCAGUACAGGAACCUUAAAUUGGCUGAGUGGCACCAUCAUUUACAUUUACAUCAGAUUAAUACUUGUGAGAGCCAGAGAUCUAAAACUUCUGAUAUAGUAUAAUCAAAUUCUAAUUUUGAGUUGAUCUCCUUGUAUUUGGCAAGAAUUUUAACUCCAAGGAAGCAUUAAAGUUCUGCCAAACUUGAAAAUGCAAGGAUAGAGGGCUGCCCUAUCUGUUACUCCAACUUCAUUAAAUUGUUCUGCGGCUCAAAACUAGCUGGGGCUUGUUAUAAGGAUCUUCUCUUUUGUUUUU